rnacentral:rRNA from 1 species
UACGGGGGGGGGGCAAGCGUUGUUCGGAAUUACUGGGCGUAAAGGGCUCGUAGGCGGCCAACUAAGUCAGACGUGAAAUCCCUCGGCUUAACCGGGGAACUGCAUCUGAUACUGGAUGGCUUGAGUUCGGGAGAGGGGUGCGGAAUUCCAGGUGUAGCGGUGAAAUGCGUAGAUAUCUGGAGGAACACCGGUGGCGAAGGCGGCAUCCUGGACCGAUACUGACGCUGAGGAGCGAAAGCCAGGGGAGCAAAGCGGG